CCAGGUCCAUUCCUGGGUUCCCAGAAAAUGUCUACAAGUCAUAUAUUUUGCAGAGGCUUAUAAAGGCAAACCCAUAAGGUUACAUUUUUCUCAGCAGGUCCAAUCAGCGGCAAGCAUAUAUCCUGAAGCACUUCUUGUCUGUGUACCUCCCACUUACAUCCAAUCAGGGGCAAGCAUACAUCCUGACGUAUUUCCUGCCUACGUACCUCACACCUACAUCCAGUACGAUUAGGCCAAAUAAACUUGUUUAGGGGAGUGAAGCAUGUGGCUUGUUUUCUCCCAUAGCUUCCAGCAUUUCGGGGAAAGAUCUGUCCUUGGGCAAGACACUUAAAGGUUAGCAACAGUUUUUUGUUCCAUGGAUCUCUUAGGCACAGUAAUUAAAACUUAAAACAUACCUUUUUGGCUCUUACAACGUUUGCCUUGCAAGCCAGAGGACCCGAGUUUGAUCCCCUUCAGAUCCUGUCAGCUUUUCAGGCAACGGGCAGAAUCCAGAAAGGUAACAGCACAAGGAUAUGGGAAUCUUUGCAGGACCGGUGGCUUUCCUUCCUUCCUUUUUCCAUUUAUCCUUUCUUUAGAAGGCAGAUAAGGCGGCAUUAUUGAUUGAGGAGU
ensembl:processed_transcript Gm13663 predicted gene 13663